AAUAUUUCCAAGUCCUUGACAGUACGCUUCAUCUUCACUUAUGGACUUAGGCAAGUAGCCGAACUAUAUAAAUAUUUGUGUACUUAAAUUUUUUUUCUUUCUUGAUUUUUUUGGUAUUUUCUUGCUGGACGAACUAAAUUUUGUUUGCAUUUGUCAUAAUAGUUACAUUAUUUUCUCUUUAAAACUGGAUAAAAAAAAAGUUGUUAUUUUUCUUCUCUUUUCUCUUCUAUACAUUUAAGUAACGAGUCAAUUUUGAUGCCACAUUUGCAAAACCUAAAAUCGAACCCGAAAAAUAAAAACUCAAAACCGCACCCAAAUGCUACCGUCUAUAAAAAUCAAACACGAAAUCA
rnacentral:lncRNA from 1 species